CACGUAGGGCGCAAGCGUUGUCCGGAAUUAUUGGGCGUAAAGAGCUCGUAGGCGGUCUGUUACGUCUGCUGUGAAAACCCAGGGCUUAACCCUGGGCUUGCAGUGGAUACGGGCAGACUAGAGGCAGGUAGGGGAGAAUGGAAUUCCCGGUGUAGCGGUGAAAUGCGCAGAUAUCGGGAGGAACACCGAUGGCGAAGGCAGCCUCCUGGGCCAACACUGACGCUCAUGCACGAAAGCGUGGGGAGCAAACAGG
rnacentral:rRNA from 1 species